AGGCAAGGUAACAAAAUAACAACAAAAACUGACAAGAAAAUCCAACAAUUAUAACAACAUACUGUAAUAAAAGUUAUGUGAAUGUGGUCUCUUUCUCCUAAAAUAUCUUAUUGUACUGUACUUGGCUUUUUUCGGACUGCAGUUGUCUGUGGGUAGCUGACAUGGCAGAAAGUGAAACUGUGGAUAAGGGGAGACUACUGUUUACCGAUAUGGAAAGAUCUCUAAGAUAUGGUAUUUAGUGAAGUAAACAAGGGGCAAACAAUGUAUAGGCUACCAUUUCUGUAAAAUGGUGGUGGGCUUCAGGAAAACACAGAUUUGUAUUUAUUCGCAUAUGCGUAAAAAAUGUCCAGUAGUGUACACAAGUAAGAAACUAAUAACAUAACAAUGGUCACUCCUUUGAAGGGUUUGGUAAUGGGUGCAAAAACUGUACAGAGGGGACAAUGGUAGCUGAGUAAGUUUUCACUGGAUUCCUUUCUAGGCUUUUGGUUUUGGACCAUGAGAAUGGCUUACAUAUUCAAAAGGUAAGUACAUAUUUUAAAAAUUUAAUUAAACACCACACCCCCAGCCUAAACACUGACAUUGUUCCAAGUCAAUAGAGGGUUGGGGAAUCUGCAUUUUGCAAUGAGCAGCCUGGCUGAUUCUGAUGUAGAUGGUCCAAGGAACCAAGGAACUGUGGGGCACAUAGCCACAGACUAUGUUCAUGCAACAACUAUUUUUUAUUGAACGUUGGAUACAUGUAUCUGUCCAUUUCACAAAUUAUGUUUUAUUAUAUUAAAGAAUAAACCUCAUUUCUUCUACAACUUGAACAUCCAGCUUACUAUACACGGGAUCUGACUUAAUGUCAUACAGACCACUUACAAUGUGAUAGAAGCAUUGGAAGCAUUUGUUGAAAAAUAACAAUUUCACUCAAAGCACACUUUAUAGAUAGAGUUUUACAUGGUCACAGAGUUAAGUCUGAACAUUUAAAGGGAUCUGAGUCAUUCAUAUUAAUAUUGUGAAUUUCUUAUAAAUAAUUCAUUUGUUCAAGGAGUCCAGGCAAAGCCAAGCCGUGACAUUAUUUACACUAAGUACCACACCUGGAACUUGUUCUGAGUUAUUUAACACAGAGUACAUUUUUCAAUGCAAUAAAUAUUUACAGUUAAUAGUAGCAAGUACAAUUAUAAUUUAUGAAAUAUGAGUCUAAUAUUUAAAACAAAACAUAAAAUGACAUUAAAGAAGUUUGUGCCAUUUAUUUUUACAACUCACCGAAUUGACUGUUUUACGAAUUUUAUUACCCAAAACUCUACUGACUUGAAUGCAAGAAAGGUCAUGUUUGAAUCAGUAAAGCCCAGACUGCAGAAAAAAAAAAACUUUUAGAAGAUAAUGAGUUUUACUUUCUUAAUGUUAUACACGUAUUAUUAAUGUCAUUAGCUAAAAUGGAAGCAAAGUUAUGAAAAUCUGGAUUCACAACAGGCUCAAAUUAUAUAAUGUACCUUCAACAUUGAAGUUCUGAGUUAUGCCAACAUUUUUAAGCUUGUCUGGGAGUUAAUGAGGCCUUGAAUGUACGAGGUUUUACUGUCCAUUAAAAUUAUUCUUUUAAAAUGUCAUAAAAUUAUGUGAGUCCUUUCAUGUCAUUAUAUGACUCUGUGAGUGAAUUUUAAAUUGGGGGAAAAAAGGCAAAUAAUCUUAUCUUCUAGAAAUGUGAGCUCAGAGAGGGCCGAGAGACAGUGGUGUCUGUGUUUAGAACAGGGCACCUAGGGCUGGGCACUCAGAUACCUAAGUCCAUAUCUGAGUUUCUUAUCUGUCCCCUUAGUCCAGGAGAUGCUUUUCUGUUAGAGGCUAUUUAUGUAGCCUGGGUCCCCAGACUCUAGGAAACCAACCAUUGUCGUAUCUUACUCUAUUUUGGGGAAAGUGGGGGCGUAGGUGGUUCUACCUCUACCUGACACUUUUUCUCCAACUAAUUCUGAUUCAAAGAAAGAUGGCUAGAUUCGCUGUUCUCAUUUGGGUUUUCUCUCUAACUUGGUCCUUAGCAAGUUUUUUUCUCUCCUCAGACACAGAACUAGGUGGGAAAUUCUUCCCAGGGCUUCCAGUUGCAAGUGAAUUGUGUCUCUGAGUAGGGGAGAAGGAGGGUGCGAACAACUGACCUAAGGGACUUUCUGACUCACCCGCUUUGUGCUGCAUUUCAGCCUCUGCCCUCAACAAUUCCUUAAACUAGGUGCCUCAAUGCUCUUUGCAUACAUUCUUUGACUCUAUCAUUAGUUCAGGUCUCUGGACAAAACCUAGAAUAGGGAGUGGAGUUUUCUUCUAAGUACUGUGAACUUAAUUUUUCACACAGGUUGGAUUUGGGAAGCAAUGCUAAGCAGUGGAAUGGACAUCGACAUAGAGAGAUCAGCUCCACACUUAUACUCUGCCACUCAACUUCCCCAUGUGACUUGAGGAUCACUCUAACUCCAAAACAUAGCAAGCUCGCGGAACAUCAGGGUUCAUGCAAAGUAUUCCAAGGAGCCCCUUGAAGCAACAGAAUGGUCUGUCUCCUUUCAUACCACUAACGUGAACACAAAUAUAGAAUAGCGGUUGAUUUCCAAAGAGUUGUUGUUGCAAGCGUAGCAGAAGUGAGGCUACUGUGACCAAAUGGGCUACAGAAAGGCUGCAAAGACAGAACUAGAGACGAUGAAGAGACUCAGAAUUUUAGCGAUAGACAAGACCUUAGCACUGUCUUCUCAGUCUAGAGAUGAAAACAAGAGUCUAGACAAGUGAAAUUGAUAGCCAGAGUGAUAUAGCUAGAGGCAGAGUUGGACUGUCAAGCUAGAAAUCUUGGUUCUUUAAGCUAUACUAUCUGUCUUGCUUUUCAAACUGUUCAAUGUAAUUAUGGACUACCAGCAAAGCAGGUUUGUACAGUACAGACGAGCACGUAGCAAGCAGAAUUGAAGUUUCAUUCUGUCUUGGUCCCAACUCCUAAAGCUCCAUAGACAGUGGGCACUUCUUCAUAUCAAGAGACAAGAAUCUUUUCAUAUGUGCCAUGUGAAAAUGAGAGCCAACUGUUUGUAUCUCAUCUGGAUAGAGAAAACCUAAAUUAAAAUUGUCUUAGAAUUUUAAUGUGUAAGGGCACAUUUGUAAAAUUUGAAUUUAUUUGAAAGUGGGUUAAUAUGUUUGCAACCUGUCAAAAUUGCCCUCUUUGAGUGAAAAAAAACUCGAUUCAGGGUUUCUAAAGUAAGGGAAUCAAAUCUUUUUAGAGCCAACUAAACUCACUUAGAAAAAGAAAAAUAUUUCAGCCAAGUCUUUUUCUGCACAUGGCUCUUUCAUAAAUACUCUUCUUAAGUAGAAACAAGUCUGUAGCUGUUUUUCAAUCAGUUCUUAAAGUUAAGACCCCUGUGACUUUCUUAUACAUAUUCAGACAAAAAAUACGUGUUACUGAAAUUUUAUUCACUUCCUCCCACAAACGUUAGGAGAAGCAUACAUUAAAUAUAAACAUGUUCCCAUUUCUACUCAGAUACAAUCCCUUCUUUCUUAUAGUGAAACUACUGAUUCAGUGUAGCAGUCAAAGACAAAUCUAAGUAAAUACAUUUGACUCAAAACCUAUGUAUCAAGAAUAAAUACUGUACUUUAUGCAUUUAUAGAUAUUUGAUUAAUUAAUAGCAUGAUUUUUUUUUUCCUAAAAGGAUUGCUCUUCUAUGGUGGAAUGGCACCCUGGAUGAUUAAAACCGUAGCAGCAAACAAAACCUCCAUCAAGUAAGAAUUCAGAGUGUGAGAUAUCACGCACAGCCACGCGUGGAUCUUUAUAUACGUGUCAAUGUGUUUGAUUGUAUUUUUGCUUUCAAAGUAUGUAUUGAGCAUUUCUUCUAGGUCCUCAGUAACAUCUUUUUAAAAAAAAAAUAAAUGCUUAGGGAAUUGUUUUAUAUUAAACUCGCUUCCAUUGUUAUCAACUUGGAGAGUGUCCCUCAUACAUGGAGCUCUCUCACAGGAUUGACUUUUCAUAUUAGGAGUGUAAAUAAAAGUUGUUCCUUGGUUUGUGUAUUACAGAUAUUCCUGAAAACAGAGUCAAGUUAUAUUUCUAAAGUACUAGCGUCUGCUUAAAGAAAUGACAAGGUGAAGUCUUUCACAAAGUAAGCAUUCAAUGUAUGAUUUCUCUGCUAUGUAAAUCUGGUUGUUCAUACAGUUUCUAUGACAUAAUUGGCCACGAC
rnacentral:lncRNA from 10 species